rnacentral:rRNA from 1 species
CCAAUCCAUAGUAAAAGUGGUAUAAGGUGAUUCAUAGUAAGGUUGGAAAUCGUAUGGAGGCAACUCUGACGAUAUAUCAUUCAAAUUUCUGCCCUAUCAACUUUGGAUGGUAGUAUAGAGGACUACCAUGGUGAUAACGGGUAACGGAGAAUUAGGGGUUCGAUUCCGGAGAGGGAGCCUGAGAAAUGGCUACCACUUCUAAGGAGGGCAGCAGGCGCGCAAAUUACCCAAUCCUAAUACUGGGAGGUAGUGACAAUAAAUAACAAUGCUGGAGUUCAUACUCUGGUAAUUGGAAUGAGAACAAUUUAAACCCCUUAACGAGUAACCAUCAGAGGGCAAGUCUGGUGCCAGCAGCCGCGGUAAUUCCAGCUCUGAUAGCGUAUAUUAAAGUUGUUGCAGUUAAAAAGCUCGUAG